AGCACAAAUGAUGAUUAUAGGGGACUUAAUACUGACAUAUGAUGACACUCUUGAGCAAAAACUGAUGUGC
ensembl:snoRNA SNORD82 Small nucleolar RNA SNORD82